rnacentral:lncRNA from 1 species
AGCUGAUGUCUGAGCCAAGGUUUAUCUGUCUCCGAGGGCUUCCUUCUGCCUAUGAGCCAAGCUGCCUCACUGGAGCUGUGUGCAGUGGGUGGGCUGAGACGCUGGGUCCCGAUUGUGUCCUCGGAGAAGGCACAGGAGCUGUGGCAGCCUUCACUCGAGACUGUUAGCCUAAGCAGGGCUGUGAGAGGCGGACAGGACCCACACGUCCGGGCCCAGGGACACCUCCCUGUGGGCUCCCAUGUCCUGCAGCUUGCUGUGCUUGACAGCCACUGGGAUCCAGAUGUUGCACCCAAAAAUAAUUCAAGUCACCAGAGGUUAAGAGUGUCAUCUUGGCUCCCAAAGUGAGAAGGCUGAAGUCUCUUCAUGCUGAGGAAACUGUUUUUAUGCCAAAGCCGAGGACACUGGGGCCCAUGGGCUCCAUGUCUGACAUGAUUAUUAAUUUUGGUCAUGUUUCAAGAAUCUUCAUUUUUAUAUGUUGUGGUGGAUUGACUAAUGGUCAACUUGUAACGCCCAGCUGAACUGAACCAGCGUGGUCUGGGCGUGGAGGAUACGCCUGAAGUCUGUUACCAGUAGCCGUAAAAAGAGAACUGGAGGGGAAGAUCUUGGCUUGUUGAUUUGUAGGAGAAGCUUGCUGUGGAUGGUUUUCCUGAUGCAAACUUGGCUGUUCUCAUCGGAGGAGGAGCUCAGGGCCUCGCUGCUGCUGGGAAUGGCUGCUGUUUUCAUCAGGGGAGCUCUGAUCUUCCCCAUGAGCAUCACAGCCUGACUCCAGUGUGGAUCCUUCAGCCUGGUGGCACAAAUCCUUCAUCUCACCGGUGUAGGUUUUCUGGCUUCCACCACUGGCCUUUGGGCCUUCCAGGUGUAGAUCCUCAAUACGGACGAGCAUGAGAAACGUCAUGUGGGCUUGAGGCCACUGGCUGGACUCGAGGAGGACAUUGCAUUUUGUGGGAAACUGCGGGGAAGUUAG